GUGAACGCUGGCGGUAGGCCUAACACAUGCCAGUCGAACGGCAGCACAGUAAGAGCUUGCUCUUACGGGUGGCGAGUGGCGGACGGGUGAGGAAUACAUCGGAAUCUACUUUUUCGUGGGGGAUAACGUAGGGAAACUUACGCUAAUACCGCAUACGACCUACGGGUGAAAGCAGGGGAUCUUCGGACCUUGCGCGAUUGAAUGAGCCGAUGUCGGAUUAGCUAGUUGGCGGGGUAAAGGCCCACCAAGGCGACGAUCCGUAGCUGGUCUGAGAGGAUGAUCAGCCACACUGGAACUGAGACACGGUCCAGACUCCUACGGGAGGCAGCAGUGGGGAAUAUUGGACAAUGGGCGCAAGCCUGAUCCAGCCAUACCGCGUGGGUGAAGAAGGCCUUCGGGUUGUAAAGCCCUUUUGUUGGGAAAGAAAAGCAGCAGGUUAAUACCCCGCUGUUCUGACGGUACCCAAAGAUUAAGCACCGGCUAACUUCGUG
rnacentral:rRNA from 1 species